GAUGAACGCUGGCGGCGUGCCUAAUACAUGCAAGUCGAGCGAACAGACGAGGAGCUUGCUCCUCUGACGUUAGCGGCGGACGGGUGAGUAACACGUGGAUAACCUACCUAUAAGACUGGGAUAACUUCGGGAAACCGGAGCUAAUACCGGAUAAUAUAUUGAACCGCAUGGUUCAAUAGUGAAAGACGGUUUUGCUGUCACUUAUAGAUGGAUCCGCGCCGCAUUAGCUAGUUGGUAAGGUAACGGCUUACCAAGGCGACGAUGCGUAGCCGACCUGAGAGGGUGAUCGGCCACACUGGAACUGAGACACGGUCCAGACGCCUACGGGAGGCAGCAGUAGGGAAUCGUCCGCAAUGGGCGAAAGCCUGACGGAGCAACGCCGCGUGAGUGAUGAAGGUCUUCGGAUCGUAAAACUCUGUUAUUAGGGAAGAACAAAUGUGUAAGUAACUAUGCACGUCUUGACGGUACCUAAUCAGAAAGCCACGGCUAACUACGUG
rnacentral:rRNA from 1 species